rnacentral:tRNA from 1 species
UGGGCUAUAGCCAAGCGGUAAGGCACAGCACUUUGACUGCUGCAUUCACCGGUCCGAAUCCGGUUAGCCCAG